AUUCAAUGUGUCGUCAUGCAUUUGUGCAUGCACGCUGUUAACGGUCAUACCCGUCUUGCUAACUUAGCUAGCUCAUCAACCAGUAUUUUAUUCGCGUUUUCUGCACGAUAGCACUUAUUAAAGCCUUGAAACUCAUGGGGACCUCACUGUUACCACGGGUCAUCGAGCUAGCCCUUAUUUGGCAGCAGGGUUGCAUCGGUUCCCACUGGAUUUGACAGCUUGUUAGGCUGGCUAGCUAGGUAGCUAAUUCGCUAACGCGAACUGUUUAUCACGUAGCAGCCUAUGCUGACUAGCAUCGCUAGCAACUAGCUAACAUGGAUAAAGUCUAGUCGUGGGUCCACAAAAUCAAACAAAUGGUACUGAACUGAUGACAAAAUCAUGUUUCGAAAUUGUAGUAGCUAUUUAUGUUUUUUUUGUUGUUGUUGCUUAAUGACAUUAAGACAACCGGUCACGAAUGCGGAGCCACGCCCUAAAAUAACAUGUGACCACAAGGCGUUUGUGAUGCAUUUAUGCGUUCCAAUUUUGUCAUAAUUGUCUGUAGGUUCCAAAUUGCUUAUGAGCUUGGCUGCCCUUCAGAAAGUAGCUGAUUCUUGUACUCUACAGCUGUAUUUUCCUACAGUUACUAAUAAUACUAGCAACAAAACAGAUUUCAUUCCUUAAAAUGAUUUUGCCAGAUGGAAGAAAAUAAUAAGAGCCUUGUCCCAGUCUCUAGACCUGCCUGUCUGUGUGAUGGAUGACCACCUGACCUCUGAAGCUGUCAAUGAGAUGGAGCAGAGCAAUUCUACCAGGAGCAGAGCAACCUCACUGAUAGAAACCACAGAAGAUCUGACACUUAUGGACUUCCUUCAAAACCUAACU